rnacentral:misc_RNA from 1 species
UGGUUCUGGCAUCGAUGAAGAACGCAGCGAAAUGCGAUAAGUAGUGUGAAUUGCAGAAUUCAGUGAAUCAUCGAAUCUUUGAACGCACAUUGCGCCCUUUGGCAUUCCUUAGGGCAUGCCUGUUCGAGCGUCAUUGGAACCCUCAAGCUCUGCUUGGUGUUGGGCGCCUGUCCCGCCUCUGGCGCGGACUCGCCUGGAAAUCAUGGGCGGUGGAUGCACCGGCCGGAAGCGCAGCACAGUCGCGCCCUCUCCGGCCUUGCGCCCUCCCCCCCAGAAGACACGCCUUCGUCUUGACCUCGGAUCAGGUAGGGAUACCCGCUGA